rfam:Gossypium raimondii Chr08_contig_1296, whole genome shotgun sequence.
UAUUAAAAAAACCAUCUCUUUGUACUGUUAAAAAACGGGUGCAGCUAACAUAAUAACCAAACAGUGACACUUGGCAUACCACGUGUAUUGUAUGUUGACAUAUAGGGAUCAAUUUUUUACAGUAGAAGUGGAUGAAAUUUUUAACA